UCUAAUAUGGCAGAAUAAUUAUGCAAUGAACUUAAAAUUCAUUUAUAAAGAACAAUCUUUUUUUAGAA
rnacentral:tRNA from 1 species